rnacentral:rRNA from 1 species
UUGAACGCUGGCGGCAUGCCUUACACAUGCAAGUCGAACGGCAGCACGGGACUUCGGGUCUGGUGGCGAGUGGCGAACGGGUGAGUAAUGUAUCGGAACGUACCUUUCAGUGGGGGAUAACGUAGCGAAAGUUACGCUAAUACCGCAUAUUCUGUGAGCAGGAAAGCAGGGGAUCGCAAGACCUUGCGCUGAUUGAGCGGCCGAUAUCAGAUUAGCUAGUUGGUGGGGUAAAGGCCUACCAAGGCUACGAUCUGUAGCGGGUCUGAGAGGAUGAUCCGCCACACUGGAACUGAGACACGGUCCAGACUCCUACGGGAGGCAGCAGUGGGGAAUUUUGGACAAUGGGGGCAACCCUGAUCCAGCCAUGCCGCGUGAGUGAAGAAGGCCUUCGGGUUGUAAAGCUCUUUCGGCCGGGAAGAAAUCGCAUAGGCUAAUACCCUGUGUGGAUGACGGUACCGGAAUAAGAAGCACCGGCUAACUACGUG